rnacentral:rRNA from 1 species
ACGCUGGCGGCAGGCCUAACACAUGCAAGUCGAGCGGUAGAGAGAAGCUUGCUUCUCUUGAGAGCGGCGGACGGGUGAGUAAUGCCUAGGAAUCUGCCUGGUAGUGGGGGAUAACGUUCGGAAACGGACGCUAAUACCGCAUACGUCCUACGGGAGAAAGCAGGGGACCUUCGGGCCUUGCGCUAUCAGAUGAGCCUAGGUCGGAUUAGCUAGUUGGUGAGGUAAUGGCUCACCAAGGCGACGAUCCGUAACUGGUCUGAGAGGAUGAUCAGUCACACUGGAACUGAGACACGGUCCAGACUCCUACGGGAGGCAGCAGUGGGGAAUAUUGGACAAUGGGCGAAAGCCUGAUCCAGCCAUGCCGCGUGUGUGAAGAAGGUCUUCGGAUUGUAAAGCACUUUAAGUUGGGAGGAAGGGCAUUAACCUAAUACGUUAGUGUCUUGACGUUACCGACAGAAUAAGCACCGGCUAACUCUGUGCCAGCAGCCGCGGUAAUACAGAGGGUGCAAGCGUUAAUCGGAAUUACUGGGCGUAAAGCGCGCGUAGGUGGUUUGUUAAGUUGGAUGUGAAAUCCCCGGGCUCAACCUGGGAACUGCAUUCAAACUGACUGACUAGAGUAUGGUAGAGGGGUGGUGGAAUUUCCUGUGGUAGCGGUGAAAUGCGUAGAUAU